GACGAACGCUGGCGGCGUGCUUAACACAUGCAAGUCGAACGAAGAGCGAUGGAAGCUUGCUUCUAUCAAUCUUAGUGGCGAACGGGUGAGUAACGCGUAAUCAACCUGCCCUUCAGAGGGGGACGACAGUUGGAAACGACUGCUAAUACCGCAUACGAUCUAACCUCGGCAUCGAGGAUAGAUGAAAGGUGGCCUCUACAUGUAAGCUAUCACUGAAGGAGGGGAUUGCGUCUGAUUAGCUAGUUGGAGGGGUAACGGCCCACCAAGGCGAUGAUCAGUAGCCGGUCUGAGAGGAUGAACGGCCACAUUGGGACUGAGACACGGCCCAGACUCCUACGGGAGGCAGCAGUGGGGAAUCUUCCGCAAUGGACGAAAGUCUGACGGAGCAACGCCGCGUGAGUGAUGACGGCCUUCGGGUUGUAAAGCUCUGUUAAUCGGGACGAAAGGCCUUCUUGCGAAUAGUUAGAAGGAUUGACGGUACCGGAAUAGAAAGCCACGGCUAACUACGUG
rnacentral:rRNA from 1 species